rnacentral:rRNA from 1 species
AUUGAACGCUGGCGGAAUGCUUUACACAUGCAAGUCGAACGGCAGCACGGGGGCAACCCUGGUGGCGAGUGGCGAACGGGUGAGUAGUGUAUCGGAACGUGCCCAGUCGUGGGGGAUAACGUAGUGAAAAUUACGCUAAUACCGCAUACGAUCUAUGGAUGAAAGCGGGGGAUCGCAAGACCUCGCGCGAUUGGAGCGGCCGAUAUCCGAUUAGGUAGUUGGUGGGGUAAAGGCUCACCAAGCCGACGAUCUGUAGCUGGUCUGAGGGGACGACCAGCCACACUGGAACUGAGACACGGUCCAGACUCCUACGGGAGGCAGCAGUGGGGAAUUUUGGACAAUGGGCGAAAGCCUGAUCCAGCCAUUCCGCGUGCAGGAUGAAGGCCUUCGGGUUGUAAACUGCUCUUGUACGGAACGAAACGGCGAGCUCUAAUACAGUUUGCUGAUGACGGUACCGUAAGAAUAAGCACCGGCUAACUACGUGCCAGCCGCCGCGGUAA